UACGAAGGGGGCUAGCGUUGCUCGGAAUCACUGGGCGUAAAGGGUGCGUAGGCGGGUCUUUAAGUCAGGGGUGAAAUCCUGGAGCUCAACUCCAGAACUGCCUUUGAUACUGAAGAUCUUGAGUGCGGGAGAGGUGAGUGGAACUGCGAGUGUAGAGGUGAAAUUCGUAGAUAUUGGGAGGAACACCAGUGGCGAAGGCGGCUCACUGGACCGGAACUGACGCUGAGGCGCGAAAGCGUGGGGAGCAAACAGG
rnacentral:rRNA from 1 species